CAAAUCCCAAAAUACAAAUUAAGGCGUCCUUUGCCUCUCAGACUGGGGAGAAGGAGGGUAUCAAGAGGAGGAGCAGAGGCGGAGCUCCAGGAAACCCGGCUGCUGCUGCUGCUGCUGCUGCGAGGUGCAGCAGUGCGUGCGCGCUUCCCUGCCUGCCUGCCUGCCUGCCUGCCUGCCUGGGGAGAUGCGUGCGUCUUGUUGCCUUCGGUAACCAGGGAGCCGCGGAAGCUUCGGCGUGGUGUUUCCGAGGGCGUUUGGGAAGUUAAGAUAGAGUCCAAAUACUUCUUCACAGCUAUCCGCUUUCGAAGGCGACUGUAAUUGUUAGUGAAGACAGCAUCAGAGUGGCGUUUGACUGGCAUCUGUUCAUCAUACCUUGAAAACCAAGGACAACUGUAAUCAGCACAUUAAUUCUCAGCCUCCUAAACAAGAAAAUCCCUAUGAUGAAAAGUUCCCUUGCCAGUGACAAGUUUAUUUUCAGAAACCUUUGGCUUCAUUUAUAGACCUCCCACUACUCUCUAAGUAAAUAUGUCUGAUUAAGUAUCUUAUAGGAUGGUUGUAAUUCAUUGGUGGAGCAUAUGUUUUGUAUGCAAAGGCACUUUUGGGUCAACUUCUUGUAGAAAAGAACAUUGUUUCACUUUCCAGAUAGUGCUAGAAAAGAAUGUUGCAUGACACCACCGGAGUGAAUGGACAAAUGGUUUAGCACUGUGGAAGGUGGCUUCCUGUGCUCCAGGGGAAGUCGGUAUAGGCAGUCCUUGAGUUACAACCAACUUACAUACAACCCCUAGUUACAAAUGGGAGUGAUACAACAGGAAGUGAGAGGAAAAUUCACUCCUGUAAGAGUUAUCAUGUGCAAAGGAUGUGUCUCCACUGAAGCUUUAUCACCAAUCUAUUUCCACAACAACCCAAUAUUUUCAAAAUCCAAUUGUCAAAGGGACAGAAAGUGAGGUGAAAUCUUCUGAACAGAGGAAAUACAGUUACAAAUCUUAUCCCACAAAUGUCCUCUAAGUUGCAAUUGCAUGAUCUCUAACAGCAGUCACAAUUCUUAAAAAUCAUGAAGAAACAAGAAAGAGAAAGCUGUCAGACUGUUUCAGAGGAUAUAAAAGGUAAAGGUUUCCCCUGACGUUAAGUCCAGUCGUGUCCGACUCUGGGGGUUGGUGCUCAUCUCCAUUUCUAAGCCGAAGAGCUGGCGUUGUCCGUAGACCCUUCCAAGGUCAUGUGGCUGGCAUGACUGCAUGGAACGCACAUAUACCACAACUUUAUUUAAAUUGGUAAUUUUGUGAAUUUAUGUUUGCUGUGGUUAGAUUUUUAAAACCAUCUUAUCUGUCCAUAGCUCUGGAUGCACCAUAAUAGUACUUGUCAUUCCCAGGAAGUGUUGUCUGCAAAAUAUCACCCUCGGGUUUUAAUGAGCCUUGAGCAUGAUCAGAUUCACUUGCCCCCUCAAAGGGCAUUCUGUUUCCUGAUCUGGUGGAGACAGGAGAUGCCAGAGAACUGCCAUCAUUCAUUGGAAAGAAACAUAGCAGCAUUUUAACAAACAGGAUUGUUAGCAAUGACUAAGAAAACACUUUACAACAAACACGAAAGAAGCCAGGUUGGCUCUCUCUCCGCUGUUUAAUUUAAUAGUUUAAUUUGUAUCCCACCAUUGCCAAUACAAGCCAGAAGGCAGCUUACAAUAGAAAUUAAACCAAAACAGAGCUAAAAUCUAUUCAGUUAUAGUAGUAAAGAACAAUUUCAAAUAAUUAAAUGUGCUACGAUAACUGGAUCCCCAGUGGCAAAGUGUGUUAAAGCACUGAACUUGCAGACCGAAAGGUCCCAGGUUCAAAUCCCGGGAGCGGAGUGAGCGUCCGCUGUUAGCUCCAGCUUCUGCCAACCUAGCAGUUCGAAAACAUGCAAAUGUGAGUAGAUCAAUAGGUAAUGGCGCUCCAUGCAGUCAUGCUGGCCACAUGACCUUGGAGGUGUCUAUGGACAAUGCCGGCUCUUCGGCUUAGAAAUGGAGAUGAGCACCAACCCCCAGAGUCAGACAUGACUGGACUUAACAUCAGGGGAAACCUUUACCUUUAUCUUUAUGAAAAACAAAGCACCAAAUGAAAGUGGUUUGAAAACAUUAAAAAUAUAUCAAGAAGAAGGAAAGGAGAAAAACACCCCAGCCCCAUUAAAAAACCUCUUCAUCCACGUCUUUGCUUCUGGAAGAUAAAGAGCAGAUAUCUCCAGGAACUAGCAUAGAUGUUGCAGUGGUAUUUAACUGUGCAAAUUAUCACCACUGAAACCUGGGCAUCUAGGCUCAAGUAAAUUUAAUGUUUUUAAUUUAAAUUUAUUUCUGUUUGAUUUUUAUUAUUUUGAAAGAAAUUGGGUACCAUUUUAGUAUACAUUUAAGCUGAAACACACUGCUUUGAGUUCAAUAGCCUAAAAGUCAAUGUUGGUGGUUUAUAUGUAUAAUAAUUCAUUCAGUGGAAUUUCUGUGAAGGGAAAACACUUCAGUGAAUAAUGUAUAUGUUUCCAAAAUAUUCGUGCCUAUUUUCACUUAAUGCUUACAAGCUUCCAACAUAAUGUUGAUAAAAAUACUUUAAAUUGCUAGAAUGGAAUUAAAAUUUUAAAACAUGUGUUUCUUUGCUUGCUUAUUGUAUCUUUAUGUCUUUUUAUGCCUAAUGUUACAAAGACUGGAAGGGAUACAAGAGCAGGUAGAGUUUUCUGUUCAUUGCCAAAGGGUAGAUGUCUAAUAUGGAUGUCCUCGCCCAGCAAUAUAUAGUAAGGGAAAUCAACAGACAUACUGUAUUGACUCUGUCUUUCUACUUUAUGUUUUAUUUCCUAGUUACUAAGACUGAAGUACUACUGGCUCCAAGAAGGUGUUCAAGAGCCAUAAGAUACUUAGACCUCUCUCUUCAUGAGUGAGGAGAGGGAUUUGUCUCCAAAGAAGGAGGUUUAAUUGCAAUGCUUUCCCUGGAUGGCAAAAAGCCUUCUCCUAACUCAGUGCUCCUCAACCUGUAGGUCCCCAGAUGUUUUGGUCUUCAACUCCCAGAAAUCCCAACAGCUGGAAAACUGGCUGGGAUUUCUGGGAGUUGUAGGCCAAAACACCUGGGGACCCACCGGUUGAGAACCACUGUCCUAAUUUUUACUUUUUCUGCUCUGAUAGCAAUGAGGAAAAAGGUAAUACUCCAUCUGUGGUAGCUGGUGACUUCCAUAAGUGCUGAAAAUCUGUGUCUGUUAACAAGCUAUCAGUGUAUAAAUGGGGCUUCUGAAGCUGAAAUUGAGUUGGCUGGCAUUCACCACUAAUGACACCAAGACUAUUUUCAGUGCUAAUGCCCAGCUAGCUCAUACUGACAAUCAUAAAAAGUGUGGAUAAAACAACCAGUAAUUGUGCCACCUGAAUCUGAAUUUAGAUCCCCCUUCUCUUUGUAGCACUUUAGAUUAAAGCCUUGCCAUUCAGGCAAACAUGAAAGACUUGCCGUUCAGGCAAGCAUGAGUCAAGCUAGCAAAGUAAUAUUUUCUUAGUGGAAAAACAGACAGUAGGCGUCACUUCAUCCCACCACCACCCAAAUACCAGGAUUUCUAUUUUCUUUUAUAAGUCAAUGUCAAAUUUUAAUUCUUUUCAUUCUUUACUCACCUUAUGCUUCUAGAAACAUAAAAUAAUAUUAUUUGGGAAUUAGAUUUUCAUAGGUGAGUGGGCUAGUCUUGACUCUAUACAAUUACUACUAACAUCCAUUGGAUGAUCAGAAGCCUUAUUUGCUCAUCAUAACCAUGGUGAGUGAAUGCCUUAAAGUAUAGGCAGGGUGCACUUACAUGCAAACAAGUAAAUGAUUGUACAAAUCAUGGUACCUGCAUAGGCUUUAUCUACAAAAUCAAGGCCUCUAUAUUUUCCAAUUUUAAAAUAGAUCAUAAGUAGUACCCUAAAGGAACCACAUCCAACCUGAUUUGAAAGCUAAGCAAAGUCAGCCUUGAUUAAUAAUUGGAUGGGAGAACACCAACAAAUACCAAGUGAUAUAAUAGGCAACAAUUCAGAGGAAGGAAUAGGUAAAAUCCGCUCUCAUUAUUCCAUGCCAGAGAAAAUCUUAUAUAAAAUCAUGGUGUCAUCAUGCAAUGACAAGCAAUUUGAAAGCUUAAAGGUUUGUACAACUAAAUAAAUGCUUUGUAUAAAUGUCUUGUAGAUAUCCCACUGUAUGCAGGGUCUGUUACUGUAAAUCCAUGUGUGAGCUUGCCCUCAGAGUUCUGCUGACUACAACUCUUGCCAACUUCUGGACUGUAUAAGUCUCUAAAAUCAGGAACUCUUCAAGUUAAUAUGUAAAGAUGCCCAUUUUGAGAAACUUGAAUGUGCACAUUUAUAUUUGCUAAACAUUGUUCUCUAAUACACAUUUAAUUUUACUAUUUGUGUUUCUGAAAUAAAACUGAUCUGAAAUUUUAA